CCCUUAGAUGUUCUGGGCCGCACGCGCGCUACACUGACGGAGUCAACGAGUCGUCCUGCAUCGGAAGGUGUGGGUAAUCUUUUGAAACUUCGUCGUGCUGGGGAUAGAUCUUUGCAAUUUUCGAUCUUGAACGAGGAAUUCCUAGUAAGCGUGAUUCAUCAGAUCGCGUUGAUUACGUCCCUGCCCUUUGUACACACCGCCCGUCGCUACUACCGAUUGAAUGGUUUAGUGAGGCCUCGGGACUGGCGCGCUCGAGUAGCAAUACACCUGCGCGCCGGGAACUUGGUCAAACUUGAUCAUUUAGAGGAAGUAAAAGUCGUAACA
rnacentral:rRNA from 1 species